rnacentral:rRNA from 1 species
UUAAGUUAGAAAGGGCGCACGGUGGAUGCCUUGACACUAGGAGUCGAUGAAGGACGGGACUAACGCCGAUAUGCUUCGGGGAGCUGUAAGUAAGCUUUGAUCCGAAGAUUUCCGAAUGGGGAAACCCACCAUACGUAAUGGUAUGGUAUCCUUAUCUGAAUACAUAGGGUAAGGAAGACAGACCCAGGGAACUGAAACAUCUAAGUACCUGGAGGAAGAGAAAGCAAAUGCGAUUUCCUGAGUAGCGGCGAGCGAAACGGAACAUAGCCCAAACCAAGAGGCUUGCCUCUUGGGGUUGUAGGACAUUCUAUACGGAGUUACAAAGGAACGAGGUAGACGAAGCGACCUGGAAAGGUCCGUCGUAGAGGGUAACAACCCCGUAGUCGAAACUUCGUUCUCUCUUGAAUGUAUCCUGAGUACGGCGGAACACGUGAAAUUCCGUCGGAAUCUGGGAGGACCAUCUCCCAAGGCUAAAUACUCCCUAGUGAUCGAUAGUGAACCAGUACCGUGAGGGAAAGGUGAAAAGCACCCCGGAAGGGGAGUGAAAGAGAUCCUGAAACCGUGUGCCUACAAAUAGUCAGAGCCCGUUAACGGGUGAUGGCGUGCCUUUUGUAGAAUGAACCGGCGAGUUACGAUCCCGUGCGAGGUUAAGCUGAAGAGGCGGAGCCGCAGCGAAAGCGAGUCUGAAUAGGGCGUUUAGUACGUGGUCGUAGACCCGAAACCAGGUGAUCUACCCAUGUCCAGGGUGAAGUUCAGGUAACACUGAAUGGAGGCCCGAACCCACGCACGUUGAAAAGUGCGGGGAUGAGGUGUGGGUAGCGGAGAAAUUCCAAUCGAACCUGGAGAUAGCUGGUUCUCCCCGAAAUAGCUUUAGGGCUAGCCUUAAGUGUAAGAGUCUUGGAGGUAGAGCACUGAUUGGACUAGGGGUCCUCAUCGGAUUACCGAAUUCAGUCAAACUCCGAAUGCCAAUGACUUAUCCUUAGGAGUCAGACUGCGAGUGAUAAGAUCCGUAGUCAAAAGGGAAACAGCCCAGACCGCCAGCUAAGGUCCCAAAGUGUGUAUUAAGUGGAAAAGGAUGUGGAGUUGCUUAGACAACUAGGAUGUUGGCUUAGAAGCAGCCACCAUUUAAAGAGUGCGUAAUAGCUCACUAGUCGAGUGACUCUGCGCCGAAAAUGUACCGGGGCUAAAUACACCACCGAAGCUGCGGAUUGAUACCAAUGGUAUCAGUGGUAGGGGAGCGUUCUAAGGACAGUGAAGUCAGACCGGAAGGACUGGUGGAGUGCUUAGAAGUGAGAAUGCCGGUAUGAGUAGCGAAAGACGGGUGAGAAUCCCGUCCACCGAAUGCCUAAGGGUUCCUGAGGAAGGCUCGUCCGCUCAGGGUUAGUCAGGACCUAAGCCGAGGCCGACAGGCGUAGGCGAUGGACAACAGGUUGAUAUUCCUGUACCACCUCUUUAUCGUUUGAGCAAUGGAGGGACGCAGAAGGAUAGAAGAAGCGUGCGAUUGGUUGUGCACGUCCAAGCAGUUAGGCUGAUAAGUAGGCAAAUCCGCUUAUCGUGAAGGCUGAGCUGUGAUGGGGAAGCUCCUUAUGGAGCGAAGUCUUUGAUUCCCCGCUGCCAAGAAAAGCUUCUAGCGAGAUAAAAGGUGCCUGUACCGCAAACCGACACAGGUAGGCGAGGAGAGAAUCCUAAGGUGUGCGAGAGAACUCUGGUUAAGGAACUCGGCAAAAUGACCCCGUAACUUCGGGAGAAGGGGUGCUUUCUUAACGGAAAGCCGCAGUGAAUAGGCCCAAGCGACUGUUUAGCAAAAACACAGCUCUCUGCGAAGCCGUAAGGCGAAGUAUAGGGGGUGACACCUGCCCGGUGCUGGAAGGUUAAGGAGAGGGGUUAGCGUAAGCGAAGCUCUGAACUGAAGCCCCAGUAAACGGCGGCCGUAACUAUAACGGUCCUAAGGUAGCGAAAUUCCUUGUCGGGUAAGUUCCGACCCGCACGAAAGGUGUAACGAUUUGGGCACUGUCUCAACCAGAGACUCGGUGAAAUUAUAGUACCUGUGAAGAUGCAGGGUACCCGCGACAGGACGGAAAGACCCCGUGGAGCUUUACUGUAGCCUGAUAUUGAAUUUUGGUACAGUUUGUACAGGAUAGGCGGGAGCCUUUGAAACCGGAGCGCUAGCUUCGGUGGAGGCGCUGGUGGGAUACCGCCCUGACUGUAUUGAAAUUCUAACCUACGGGUCUUAUCGACCCGGGAGACAGUGUCAGGUGGGCAGUUUGACUGGGGCGGUCGCCUCCUAAAGUGUAACGGAGGCGCCCAAAGGUUCCCUCAGAAUGGUUGGAAAUCAUUCGUAGAGUGCAAAGGCAUAAGGGAGCUUGACUGCGAGACCUACAAGUCGAGCAGGGACGAAAGUCGGGCUUAGUGAUCCGGUGGUUCCGCAUGGAAGGGCCAUCGCUCAACGGAUAAAAGCUACCCCGGGGAUAACAGGCUUAUCUCCCCCAAGAGUCCACAUCGACGGGGAGGUUUGGCACCUCGAUGUCGGCUCAUCGCAUCCUGGGGCUGUAGUCGGUCCCAAGGGUUGGGCUGUUCGCCCAUUAAAGCGGUACGCGAGCUGGGUUCAGAACGUCGUGAGACAGUUCGGUCCCUAUCCGUCGUGGGCGUAGGAAAUUUGAGAGGAGCUGUCCUUAGUACGAGAGGACCGGGAUGGACGCACCGCUGGUGUACCAGUUGUUCUGCCAAGGGCAUAGCUGGGUAGCUAUGUGCGGAAGGGAUAAGUGCUGAAAGCAUCUAAGCAUGAAGCCCCCCUCAAGAUGAGAUUUCCCAUAGCGUAAGCUAGUAAGAUCCCUGAAAGAUGAUCAGGUUGAUAGGUUCGAGGUGGAAGCAUGGUGACAUGUGGAGCUGACGAAUACUAAUAGAUCGAGGACUUAACCAU